rnacentral:rRNA from 1 species
AGGGUUUGAUUAUGGCUCAGGACGAACGCUGGCGGCGUGCUUAACACAUGCAAGUCGAACGGACCUUAUCUGACAGAUUUCUUCGGAUUGACGACAUAUAAGGUUAGUGGCGGACGGGUGAGUAACACGUGGAUAAUCUACCGUAAAGACCGGGACAACAGUUGGAAACGACUGCUAAUACCGGAUGUUGUGCAGAGGCGGCAUCGCUUUUGCAUUAAAGGAGGCCUCUAUUUAUAAGCUCCCGCUUUAUGAUGAGUCCGCGUCUGAUUAGCUAGUUGGUGGGGUAAGGGCUCACCAAGGCGACGAUCAGUAGCCGGCCUGAGAGGGUGAUCGGCCACAUUGGGACUGAGACACGGCCCAA